UACGUAGGGUGCGAGCGUUGUCCGGAAUUAUUGGGCGUAAAGAGCUCGUAGGCGGUGUGUCGCGUCGGCCGUGAAAACCUGCAGCUUAACUGUGGGCUUGCGGUCGAUACGGGCAUCACUGGAGUUCGGCAGGGGAGACUGGAAUUCCUGGUGUAGCGGUGAAAUGCGCAGAUAUCAGGAGGAACACCCGGUGGCGAAGGCGACUUCCUGGCCUGUUCUUGACGC
rnacentral:rRNA from 1 species